AUGCGUCGGUGUCCGCACGCCUCUGCGCUCUCACUCCCUCUCCCAUAGCAACAGCUGCGGGCGCGCGCGCUUAUCCUCGCCCCUAGCAACCGGAGCAGAUGGUGCGCGCGGAGUAGCGGAGAGUGAGUGGUGAGGAGGAGCGCGCUCUGGCGUGUGAGGACGCUCGCAUCGCGGGAGCUCGGCGGAGCUCCCGCGUGUGUGGAGAGAGUGUAGGAUAGGGUAGGUGCAGUGCUUCGCCGCUCCUUCUCUGGCCGUUCGCUCUCUCUCCU
rnacentral:lncRNA from 1 species